AAUGCUUGACUCCAGAGUAAGAUGUAUUCCUGGCACUCUACUGCAAGAGUUAUCUUCUUUUUGAACAGCAGAAAGCUCUGGCUUAUGCACUCGAAAAGCUAAAGCUGACCCAGAAGUUAUGUUUAGAGAAGAAAAAGAAGAAAGAGCCUCUUAUGUAACUUGAAGAGCAUAAAGGACCCAAUGAUAAAAACCACUGCCGUGAACUUUUCUGAAGCAUAAUAAAUCUCUGCCAGCCAUUGCUAAGAUCCUGAAUUGGGAGCCAUGGGAAAGAGGACUGACUCGGAAAUCAGAUUCAGCGUCCUGCCUAGCUUUCUUCCAGGUGAUCCCACCAGUCAGCAAUCUGGUCUCAGGGGAAUACAUGGCCUCCCCCUGACUUCUUUGCAUUUUCCCAGUACCUUUGAUUUUGGAAAUACUAUAAGAAUGAUGGCUGCAUUUUUCCAGUGUUGGAAAUUUCUGGUAUGUCUCAGAAGCAAGGAAUCACAGGAUAUCUACUUUUCAGUGGGAAAAAAGGAAAAACGAACUCUAUCUCUUCAUGGGCAAGUAGCAGGUUCUACAAGAGCAUGUGGGACUGAAAAUACUAAUGUAGCCAUUUUUGGAAAAUACAGCCUGGCCCAGUAAGUUGUCUCUUCACUGACGUGAUCUGUACUACACAGCUGCAGAGCAAAGAUGGAAAACAGCCCAGAGCUGCCUGGCUGCCCAGCUGAAUUGUCCUUGCUUCCCACUGUGGCAUGCACGCAAGAAAACAUAUUAACAGUGGACUAAUCACCAGAUCCUUCAGGCCCCUCUAGCUGAAACUGUUGAAAUAAAGGAACACCUAUUAACAAUUAAUUCUGGUUAGAGGAUAUGAAUGGGACUUGCCUCAUAAAAGUGGAAUUUUUUUGUGUGUGCAGCCACAUAGGAUACAAAAAUAUCUACAGAUAGAGGAAACAGAAGAAACAGGCACAGAUGCUUGAAGCUGCCUGGCACACUUCAGAAUGGUGAGUAGCUCAGUGUAGCCUGGAUAUAAGAUAAAUGGGAGAUAUCAGCAGCAGGGGUGGGGGCAAAGAAUUCGAUCUUGGUUCUAUUUCCCAUUGUCUGGAGUGGUUUUUUUGAGGAAAUACGUUAAGAUGGGUUCUGAGCGUGCUUCUGGCCCUGAGGAUGAC